rnacentral:rRNA from 1 species
UGGCGACCGGCGCACGGGUGCGUAACGCGUAUGCAACCUACCCAUAACAGGGGGAUAACACUGAGAAAUUGGUACUAAUACCCCAUAACAUCAGGACCGGCAUCGGUUCUGGUUGAAAACUCCGGUGGUUAUGGAUGGGCAUGCGUUGUAUUAGCUGGUUGGUGAGGUAACGGCUCACCAAGGCAACGAUACAUAGGGGGACUGAGAGGUUAACCCCCCACAUUGGUACUGAGACACGGACCAG